GCAGCGUCCAUAGUAAUGGCAGCCUUGUUAUCCGUACAGUGAAAGCAGAGGAUUCUGGGAACUACACAUGUGUGGCCAGUAACAGUUUUGGGUCUGACAAGAUCAUCCUCAACCUGCAGGUUCAAGUUCCACCAGACCAGCCUCGUCUCACAGUGACCAAGACAACCACCACCUCUAUAACCCUCUCCUGGAUCCCAGGAGACAAUGGAGGCAGCUCCAUAAGAGGCUACAUUCUGCAGUACUCUGAGGAUAACAGUGAGCAGUGGGGUAACUUUGCCAUCAGUCCUAGUGAACGCUCCUAUCGGCUGGAAAAUCUCAAGUGUGGCACCUGGUAUAAAUUUACCCUCACUGCCCAGAAUGCAGUGGGGCCUGGACACAUCAGUGAGAUCACUGAAGAAACGACUCAUGGGAAAGCAAGUUAUAUACCUGAGGAUGUGUCACCAGCCAAAGCCGGCCUCAGAGCAGAUGACAGCAGGCACCA